ensembl:lncRNA
AUUCCCAUUUCAUUUGUGCAGUGGAAAGCCGGGGCAGCGGCAAAAGGAAAGGAGGGGGGGGGGCGGUGAAAAAAACAUCUCAGCACCUGCAUUACGUCACUAGAUGAUAUCUGUCCUUUUAGAACUCAGAACUCCCCCCAUACACACACACCACUCAGUGUACAGGUUAAUUCCAGGACUUAUAACCACAUUGUGUCAGGACAUUUAUAAAGGCCUUCUCAUCCUGCACAUCACUUCCUCCAGCCAUAUCCCCCUGGUAGAAGAUUUUGGGCCAUUAAAGACACCACAAGUAUACAUGUUAACAGGUGGAAAGUGA